CGACUGCGUUGAUUGUGAUCUUCGCAUCUGGAGGUACUACCGUCCAAUUUCCGUAAUGUAUACCUAAACACGUGUGAUUAUUCAAUUUCUUGCUGAUUGAAUUUAUAUGGGUUGAUUUGGUUUGUGUUUUUUGAUCCAGUAAUUGGUUAGAUUAGAUCUGUUCUUGUCUCUGCAAGGAAUUGGGUUAUGCUUCUUUUACACUUUUCUUAAUUCCUGUUAGAGAUGUUUUAAGAGUUUUUGUUUUUGAAAAAUUUUUUAUGCUCUUGUCAUAGUAUACAUUUUGAUGUUGCGCCUUGCCUAAUGGUGAUUUUGAAAUGACUUCCCUUUAUAAGAGAAUUGGUGAAUAAUCAAGGCUGGAGUCUCGGAAAGGGCUCUUUUUGCCAAUACCCUGAAAUGGGUAUUUGGAAAGGAAUACCACUGAGCUUCGAGAUUUGGCAUAAUUUUUAUGCCAUAGGCCUUUGGUUGGGGAGUAUUUCAUUUCACUUACUGAGGUUUGGUGUUGAUAUCAAAUGAUUACAGGUCAAGGGUUGAUAUAAUUUCAUCUUUUUUAUUUAAAAAAAAAGAGUAAUUCGUCUUCAUUUAGUAAUGAAAUGAUAUAAUCUUUUGGUUUUGUAGCACUUUGAUGGUCCAUCUUAUUUUUUAAAAUUGAUUUUAAAAGUUGAAAUACAUAUGUUCCUUUUUGAGGAUUUCAUUCAGGUUUGAUUAAUUUGAUGGUCUCUCUUGAUUAUUUACAUUUAUCUUCUUAUUAUGCAAAUAUAGGAAAUUUUUGUCUCACUGCAUAGUUCUCCAAUGGAAUUGCCAAUUAUGUUUUUAAAAAAUUAAUUAUUAAAUAUUAAAAACUUGGCUUUCUGUUUGGGAAUUUUUAUCAUUUUAAUUGACUUGAAUGUUUCUCUUGUCUUGUAUCUGUGUUCAGUCAUGAUGAUUUUAUUAGAGAACUUUAUUUCAAUUUUCAGCUUCUUAUGUAAUAAUACCUGUUUUGAUUCUUUUGAUUGAGAGAAUAUGUUUUCUUUGGUUUUGUACACUCACGGACUGAUAAAUAAUAGUGUUUAAAAUGAACUACUAUCAUUUGAAAAAUAUGUUGCUUUCUGUUGUUAUGAAUUUUCUGUCUUUCAAGGAAAUAAGGUUGAAAUUCAUGAGUGUUGCAGUGUUAUCCUGAGGUUGAAGCAUGUCUCAUCGCAAAUUUGAACACCCCCGACAUGGCUCUUUGGGAUUUCUUCCUAGAAAGAGAGCCUCCCGCCACAGAGGAAAAGUGAAGGCAUUUCCCAAAGAUGAUCCAACAAAACCUUGCAGAUUGACUGCUUUUCUGGGUUACAAAGCAGGGAUGACUCACAUUGUUAGAGAAGUUGAAAAGCCAGGGUCAAAGCUCCACAAGAAAGAAACAUGUGAGGCAGUCACAAUCAUAGAAACCCCGCCUAUGGUGGUUGUUGGGGUUGUGGGUUAUAUGAAAACACCCCGUGGUCUCCGUUCACUGAACACUGUCUGGGCCCAACAUUUGAGUGAGGAAGUGAAGAGGAGAUUCUAC
rnacentral:misc_RNA from 1 species